rnacentral:rRNA from 1 species
CCUACGGGAGGCAGCAGUGGGGAAUAUUGGACAAUGGGCGAAAGCCUGAUCCAGCAAUGCCGCGUGAGUGAAGAAGGCCUUCGGGUUGUAAAGCUCUUUUACCCGGGAUGAUAAUGACCGUACCGGGAGAAUAAGCCCCGGCUAACUCCGUGCCAGCAGCCGCGGUAAUACGGAGGGGGCUAGCGUUGUUCGGAAUCACUGGGCGUAAAGCGUACGUAGGCGGCCAUUCAAGUCAGAGGUGAAAGCCCAGGGCUCAACCCUGGAACUGCCUUUGAAACUAGAUGGCUGGAACACGGGAGAGGUGAGUGGAAUUCCGAGUGUAGAGGUGAAAUUCGUAGAUAUUCGGAAGAACACCAGUGGCGAAGGCGGCUCACUGGACCGUUGUUGACGCUGAGGUACGAAAGCGUGGGGAGCAAACAGGAUUAGAUACCCUGGUAGUCCACGCCGUAAACGAUGAUAACUAGCUGUUGGGGCUCUUGGAGCUCCAGUGGCGCGAGCUACGACAUUAAGUUAUCCGUCCGUCGGGUAGGUACGGCCGCGAACGGUUAAACGUAACGAAGGAAGUUAGUACGGCGUGAGACGUGCCGACGGACGACGACGAGGGAGGUAGG